AAAGGCACAGUCAACUUAGUGUAUGUUAACUUCUGACUUCGACUGUAACCUGAUCCCUGCAGGUACCGAAGCUACAGCUUUGAGCUACAGAGGCCGUCAAGAGUAAGGAAGCUGAUGCUGAAGUCAAACGUCAGAACAAGACAGCAGACAUGGUUGCCGUGACGGAAAGCACAAGGUUAAGUUCUCUGUUGGCAUCAGAACCACUAUGACAAAAUGGUUGACGAGAAAGAUGCAGAGCUUGAUGAUAAGAAGAGAGAAGACAUGGAGGCAGCUGCUAAUAGAACAUCACUGGAAUUGGAUCUGUCACAGCAGAACAUGGAAAAUGGCCAUUUGAAGGAACAACUGGAGAAAGAAAUGAAGGAGAGGGAAAGCUGACUACAGGAGAUUACAGGCCUGGAAAAAGAGACGGCAUGUCAGAAAAUGAGCAGACAGCUGCAGACACAGGAUAAACAGGAAAUGGAAAGCAAAGCCCCAAGAACUCCAUCUUGGAGCUCCAUAACAACAGUUAUAGCAACACCGCAAAUUAAGGAAAGCAAAGCUCUCAAAACUCCAUCUUGGCGUUCCCCAGUGCAGCUGGCGCAACACCACGGAUUAAGAAUCAGAACUCCUCCGUCCGCUGGGAAGUCUGUGCCCUGGGGGAGGAGCACACUGGAGCUUGACCUGGGGGAAGAGCACACUGGAGCUUGACCUGGAGGAAGAGCACACUGGAGCUUGACCUGGAGGAAGAGCACCCUGGAGCUUGACCUGGGGGAAGAGCACCCUGGAGCUUGACCUGGAGGAAGAGCACACUGGAGCUUGACCUGGAGGAAGAGCACCCUGGAGCUUGACCUGGGGGAAGAGCACACUGGAGCUUGACCUGGGGGAAGAGCACACUGGAGCUUGACCUGGGGGAAGAGCACACUGGAGCUUGACCUGGAGGAAGAGCACACUGGAGCUUGACCUGGAGGAAGAGCACCCUGGAGCUUGACCUGGGGGAAGAGCACCCUGGAGCUUGACCUGGAGGAAGAGCACACUGGAGCUUGACCUGGGGGAAGAGCACCCUGGAGCUUGACCUGGAGGAAGAGCACACUGGAGCUUGACCUGGGGGAAGAGCACCCUGGAGCUUGACCCCAAGUCUGACAGCUCUGAACAUAAAGAUUUAUAUGGUCGAUCUAAUGAACACACUGCUUUAACUUUAAUAGUGCUGAUAACAUUGGAUUGGCCUAAAACUCAGGAUGUAUUAUGAAAUACCACGCAAUUCCCAAUGACCACAAAUAAGUUUGAACUCAUAACUUUAUAAUGCAUGCUGCAUGGUAUGCACAUUUUCAUUGUGGGAAUACCUUUUCUUUAAAUAUCACUUCUAACUUGGAUGUCUUUCUGGUUCUUAUAAUGGCAGAGCUUUGCAGUUGCAACUGAUCCAUUCAAAAGCCACCUGCAGCCAAGUGUCCCAGCAGCACAGCAUCAAAACGUGGACAUAUUGAGGAACGAAUGAGCCAGCUGAACAUUAUCACCAAAUACUUGAUUUACUUGGCAAUACUCCCUCUGCAUUAUGAAAUAAUCUGUGAAAUACCAUAUUGCAUUAUAGUAUAGUCUGAACUCUGCAACUUCUAAAAUAUAGUCUGUAACUUGUAAAAGUAGUUAAUGCUGUGGGGUUCUACAAUUUUCAGGUCAUUAUUAGCCACUUCCACAAUCACUUCCACCGGUUUGCUUCUGCUUCACUCAUUUUUCCUGUUUUAUACUAUUGUAAUGUUUCAGGUCCAGAGCCCUGUUGUUCAGAAAUCACUUGGGAGUGCUUUAAAGCUCGCUGCAAUGAAAAGGAUGCAGGAUGCUGGUUGGACAGCUGCCGCUGGUGCUGACAAGGAGAAGAAAAACAACAAGUGCUUUUCAAAAUGGAUCGUUUUCUGUGUGUGUGACAAAUGUGGACAUUCAAUAUGCUUUUUUCAUUACACCACUGCUCUCAAGUUCAUUCAUGUCUGUAGUUGUCUGAUGCUGGGAAAUCUGUUGACCGAAAUAUACAUUUAAAAUGCAAGUCAAAACAAUUUGAAAUGAACUAAGUAUAUUAUCUUGUUUUGAUGUUACUGUUUAGCCACAUUGCUCACUUUAUUAAUGGAAAACAUGUAAAAUGCUUGUUUUGAACAGACUUGCCACCUUUGAGUCCAUUCAACAUAAAUAAGUUCAAGUGUUUGUUCAUAACAUUGUUGUUUUUGCUUGUGCUGUUUUUAUGUUCCUAUAUAUGACAUUUGUCAACAUUGCAUUGUUAUUGACAGUGGUGUAAAGUACUUAAGUAAAAAUACUUUAAAGUACUACUUAAGUAGUUUUUUGAUAUCUGUACUUUACUUCACUAUUUAUAUUUUUGACAACUUUUACUCCACUACAUUCCUAAAGAAGAUUAUGGACUUUUUACUCCAUACAUUUCCAAUGCUUAGCAGGACAUGAAAAUGGUUAAAUUCUUGCACAUAUCAAGAGAACAUCCCUGGUCAUCCCUACUGCCUCUGAUCUGGUGGACUCACUAAACAGAGAAC